UACGGAAGGCAGCAGUGGGGAAUAUUGCACAAUGGGCGAAAGCCUGAUGCAGCUAUGCCGCGUGUAUGAAGAAGGCCUUAGGGUUGUAAAGUACUUUCAUCGGGGAGGAAAAACAAAACUAAUAAUUUUAUUUCUUGACGUUACCCGAAAAAGAAGCACCGGCUAACUCCGUGCCAGCAGCCGCGGUAAUACGGAGGGUGCUAGCGUUAAUCAGAAUUACUGGGCGUAAAGAGCACGUAGGUGGUUUUUUUAAGUCAGAUGUGAAAUCCCUGGGCUUAACCUAGGAACUGCAUUUUGAAACUGAAAUACUAGAGUAUCGUAGAGGGAGGUAGAAUUCUAGGUGUAGCGGUGAAAUGCGUAGAUAUCUGGAGGAAUACCUGUGGCGAAAGCGGCCUCCUAAACGAAUACUGACACUGAGGUGCGAAAGCGUGGGGAGCGAAACAGGGAUUAGAUACC
rnacentral:rRNA from 1 species